rnacentral:rRNA from 1 species
UACGUAGGGGGCAAGCGUUGUCCGGAAUCAUUGGGCGUAAAGCGCGUGUAGGCGGCCCGGUAAGUCCGCUGUGAAAGUCGGGGGCUCAACCCUCGGAUGCCGGUGGAUACUGUCGGGCUAGAGUGCGGGAGAGGCGUGUGGAAUUCCUGGUGUAGCGGUGAAAUGCGCAGAUAUCAGGAGGAACACCAAUUGCGAAGGCAGCUCGCUGGAACGUUACUGACGCUGAGACGCGAAAGCGUGGGGAGCAAACAGG